GACGAACGCUGGCGGCGUGCUUAACACAUGCAAGUCGAACGGAAAGGCCCUGCUUGCAGGGUCCUCGAGUGGCGAACGGGUGAGUAACACGUGGGUGAUCUGCCCUGCACUUCGGGAUAAGCUUGGGAAACUGGGUCUAAUACCGGAUAGGAGCCAUCUUUAGUGUGGUGGUUGGAAAGUUUUUUCGGUGUAGGAUGAGCUCGCGGCCUAUCAGCUUGUUGGUGGGGUAAUGGCCUACCAAGGCGGCGACGGGUAGCCGGCCUGAGAGGGUGUACGGCCACAUUGGGACUGAGAUACGGCCCAGACGCCGACGGGAGGCAGCAGUGGGGAAGAUUGCACAAUGGGCGCAAGCCUGAUGCAGCGACGCCGCGGGGGGGAUGAAGGUCUUCGGGUUGUAAACUCCUUUCGCUAGGGACGAAGCUUUUUGUGACGGUACCUAGAGAAGAAGCACCGGCUAACUACGUG
rnacentral:rRNA from 1 species